CGCGCCGCUCCCGUCCCCGCCGGCAGCGCCAAACUCUAAAUGCACAGCGGACUGUACGUUCUGAUUUACAAAAAAAACAAGUUAAAACUUUCAACAACGGAUCUCUUGGUUCUGGCAUCGAUGAAGAACGCAGCGAAAUGCGAUAAGUAAUGUGAAUUGCAAAAUUCAGUGAACCAUCGAAUCUUUGAACGCACAUUGCGCCCGGCAGUAAUCUGCCGGGCAUGCCUGUCCGAGCGUCAUUUCUGCCCUCGAGCCUGUCCAGCAUCUAGGUGCUGUUCCGGCCCGGCGUUGGGGCACUACGGGAAGCCUCGUGCUAUCCCCCGUAGGCCCCGAAAUGAAGUGGCGGUCCUGCCGCGGCUCCCCCUGCGUAGUAUUACAGCUCGCUUCGGGACCCGGUGGAGGCCUGCCGUCAAACCUUACUCUCUAAGUUUGACCUCGGAUCAGGUAGGGUUACCCGCUGAACUUAAGCAUAUCAAUA
rnacentral:rRNA from 1 species